rnacentral:rRNA from 1 species
AUUUUGGACAAUGGGCGAAAGCCUGAUCCAGCAAUGCCGCGUGUGUGAAGAAGGCCUUCGGGUUGUAAAGCACUUUUGUCCGGAAAGAAAUCCUUGGUUCUAAUAUAGCCGGGGGAUGACGGUACCGGAAGAAUAAGCACCGGCUAACUACGUGCCAGCAGCCGCGGUAAUACGUAGGGUGCGAGCGUUAAUCGGGAUUACUGGGCGUAAAGCGUGCGCAGGCGGUUUGCUAAGACCGAUGUGAAAUCCCCGGGCUCAACCUGGGAACUGCAUUGGUGACUGGCAGGCUAGAGUAUGGCAGAGGGGGGUAGAAUUCCACGUGUAGCAGUGAAAUGCGUAGAGAUGUGGAGGAAUACCGAUGGCGAAGGCAGCCCCCUGGGCCAAUACUGACGCUCAUGCACGAAAGCGUGGGGAGCAAAC